rnacentral:rRNA from 1 species
AAAGCGUGCGCAGGCGGUUGUGUAAGUCAGAUGUGAAAUCCCCGGGCUCAACCUGGGAAUUGCAUUUGAGACUGCACGGCUAGAGUGUGUCAGAGGGGGGUAGAAUUCCACGUGUAGCAGUGAAAUGCGUAGAUAUGUGGAGGAAUACCGAUGGCGAAGGCAGCCCCCUGGGAUAACACUGACGCUCAUGCACGAAAGCGUGGGGAGCAAACAGGAUUAGAUACCCGUGU